GUGAGGAAUAUUGGUCAAUGGACGAGAGUCUGAACCAGCCAAGUAGCGUGCAGGAUGACUGCCCUAUGGGUUGUAAACUGCUUUUAUGCGGGAAUAAAGUCAGGUACGUGUACCUGUUUGUAUGUACCGCAUGAAUAAGGACCGGCUAAUUCCGUGCCAGCAGCCGCGGUAAUACGGAAGGUCCGGGCGUUAUCCGGAUUUAUUGGGUUUAAAGGGAGCGCAGGCGGAAGAUUAAGCGUGACGUGAAAUGUCCCGGCUCAACCGUGGAACUGCGUCGCGAACUGGUUUUCUUGAGUGAGUGCGACGUCGGCGGAAUUCGUGGUGUAGCGGUGAAAUGCUUAGAUAUCACGAAGAACCCCGAUUGCGAAGGCAGCCGACGAGUCCUUAACUGACGCUAAAGCUCGAAAGUGCGGGUAUCGAACAGG
rnacentral:rRNA from 1 species